UCGUCAAAUUACAGAAGCUGACUCUCCGGCGACUAUGUCCGACCAAAACCCACAAACCCUAAAAUCAAUUUCCGUCACCCAUUGUCUUUGAAGAAAAAAUCAAAAUUUGUUGCCUGUUGAAGUAAAAUUGAUGCAUGUUUUAAGUAAAUCGAAGGAAAUUCGCAAAUUGGUAUUCAUAUGUUAUGAUUCUUGCAGCCUAUGUUCAAGAAUUAAGCGGAAGUGUGAGGCUAUUUGGAGCGCAGUUCGGUCAUUAAUAUUGUUUGAGAACUCUCUAUUGUUUGAUUUUCUUGGAAUUCUUGCUUUUUGUUAACUAGUUCAAGAACUUGCUUUUUGAAGUUACGUUGUUAACUGAUUUUGGGGGUGAAGCAUAAUUGAUGGAUUGUUUCCUGAUUAGCUAUUUUGCUUUACAUGGUCUAGAAUUUUUUGAUUUUGAUUGUUUCUUAAAAGUUGAAAAUAGUGUCCUGUUAGAGCAUGGGAAUUAUAUAGUUCAUUUUUUCUGAUUUUGUUAAUGUUUUGAGGUUUAGUAGAGGCAUCAUAGUGAAGCGACUAAUAAUGGUAAGUCAUGAUUUGACACAGUUUUAAUCAUUAAGACCAAUUGCACCUGCUAACUUGUGUUUUGCUUCCACAAAGGGCGUAUGCUAUAUCUGAUACCAUGAUAUUUAGGAAAAAGUUCCACUUUUCUUGGUGUGUCUUGUCUAAUUACUAAGCUAACUUGAUGCUUGCAGCCAUGAAAGAUCACAAAGCUUUUUGAGUUGAUUCUUGUUUCUGCUUGGCAAAGUUAAGUUUCUUUGUCCUUCCUCACCAAACCACCCCUUUCGUGAAAUUACACAUGAGCUUCCUCUUUUCUUAUUCUUAUUACUCUCGCUGCUCUAUUUUAUAAGCAAUGACGAUGUGAAGGUCUUAUCCUCUGUGUAAUUUCAAUACAACUUGUCUCUCGAGCUGAUUAAUCUGUUGCUUGGCACGCACCUGAGGUGGGUCUAUGAGAUUUUGGAAUUAAAUUUCCAUUUCAUGGUGGUUCUUCUCUUUCUCAUUAGCCUAACUGUUGUUUGCAGCCACGAUAGAUUUCAAUGCUUUUGAGCUGAUUCGUGUUUUUACUUGGCAAAAUUCAGUCUCUUUCACACCCUCACCAAAGCUCUCUUUUUGUGAUAUUGCACAUGCACUUCCUCUUUUUGUAUUCUUAUCACUCACUCUGCUUUGUUUUAUACACAAUGAAGAUUUGGAUGUUUUCAUGCGUUCAUGUUCAAUCAAACAUGUCGCCUGGCGAGCUAAAGAUCCGUUGCUUGGCAUGGCACUUCAGGUGGGUCUAAGAGAUUUUGGGAAAAGUUCCAUUUUAUGGUCCUUCUUCUCUGUCUCAUGGGCAAACUGAUGCUUGCAGCCAUGCUGGGUUUCAUAGCUUUUGAGCUUAUGGUGUUUUGGCACCACAAAUUUCAAUCUUUUUGUCACUACGACACGACUUUCUACUUUUUUUGUUCUUAUUACUCCUCUGUGGUAUAACUUAAUAAAGCAAUUUAACAUGUUUUUUCUUGAGUUGAGAACUGUUGCUUGGCAUGAGAUUUAGGAGAAAGUUCCAUUUCAUAGUGGUCUUCUUUGUCUCGUAAGGCUACCUGAAUGCUUGCAGCCAUGACAGAUUUCAAAUCUUUUGACCUGAUUCGUCUUUUGGCUUUGUAAAGUUAAGUUUCUUAUUACUCUCUCUACUCUAUUUUAUAAGCAAUGAGGAUGUGAAGGUUUUAUCUUCGGUGUAAUUUCAAUAAAACUUGUUUUCUCUCGAGAUGAUUAAUCUGUUGCCUGGCACGGCACCUCAGGUGGGUCUAUGAGAUUUUGGAAUUAAAUUUCCAUUUCAUGGUGGUUCUUCUCUUUCUCAUAAGCCUAACUGUUGUUUGCAGCCACGAUAGAUUUCAAUGCUUUUGAGCUGAUUGAAAAUUCAGUUUCUUUCACACCCCUCACCAAUGUUCUCUUUUUGUGAUAUUGCACAUGCACUUCCUCUUUUUGUAUUCUUAUCACCAAUUCUGCUUCGUUUUAUACACAAUGAAGAUUUGGAUAUUUUCAUGCGUUGAUGAUAAAUCAAACAUGUCGCUUGGCAAGCUAAAGACUCGUUGCUUGGCAUGGCACUUCAGGUGGGUCUAAGACAUUUUGGGAAAAGUUCCAUUUUAUGGUCCUUCUUCUCUGUCUCAUGGGCAAACUGAUGCUUGCAGCCAUGCAGGGUUUCAUAGCUUUUGAGCGUAUCGUGUUUUGGCACAACAAAUUUCAAUCUUCUUGUCAUUUCUACACGACUUUCUACUUUUUUUUAUUACUCUAUCUGGUAUGACUUAAUAAAGCAAUUUAACAUGUUUUUUCUCGAGUUGAGAACUGUUGCUUGGCAUGAGAUUUAGGAGAAAGUUCCAUUUCAUGGUGGUCUUCUUUGUCUCGUAAGGCUAACUGAUGCUUGCAGCCAUGACAGAUUUCAAAGCUCUUGAGCUAAUUUGUGUUUUGGCUUUGUAAAGUUUAGUUUCUUUCCCUCCCUCACUGAACUGCCCUUUUCGUGAAAUUACACGCGAGCUUCCUCUUUUCUUAUUCUUAUUACUCUCUCUGAUUUGUUUUAUCAGCAAUGAGGAUGUGAAGAUCUUAUCUUCGGUGUAAUUUCAAUAAAACUUGUUUUCUCUCAAGGUGAUUAAUCUAUUGCUUGGCACAGUACCUCAGGUAGGUCUAUGAGAUUUUGGAAUUAAAUUUCCAUUUCAUGGUGGUUCUUCCUCUUUCUCAUAAGCCUAACUGUUGUUUGCAGCCACGAUGGAUUUCAAUGCUUUUGAGCUGAUUCGUGUUUUUACUUGGCAAAAUUCAGUUUCUUUCACACCCCUCACCAAAGCUCUCCUUUUGUAAUAUUGCACAUGCACUUCCUCUUUUUGUAUUCUUAUCACCCUCUUUGCUUCGUUUUAUACACAACGAAGAUUUGGAUAUUUUCAUGUGAUGUUUGAUUCAAUCAAACAUGUCGCCUGGCGAGCUAAAGACUCGUUGCUUGGCAUGGCACUUCAGGUGGGUCCAAGACAUUUUGGGAAAAGUUCCAUUUUAUGGUCCUUCUUCUCUGUCUCAUGGGCAAAUUGAUGCUUGCAGCCAUGCAGGGUUUCAUAGCUUAUCGUGUUUUGGCACCAUAAAGUUCAAUCUUUUUGUCACUACUACACGACUUUCUACUUUUUUUGUUCUUAUUACUCCUCUCUGGUAUAACUUAAUAAAGCAAUUUAACAUGUUUUUUCUCGAGUUGAGAACUGUUGCUUGGCAUGAGAUUUAGGAGAAAGUUCCAUUUCAUGGUGGUCUUCUUAGUCUCGUGAGGCUAACUGAUGCUUGCAGCCAUGACAGAUUUCAAAGCUUUUGAGUUGAUUCUUGUUUUGGCUUUGUAAAGUUUAGUUCCCCCCCCCCCCCAACUAAACCCUCCUUCUCGUGAAAUUACACAUGAGCUUCCUCUUUUCUUAUUCUUAUUACUCUCUCUGCUCUAUUUUAUAAGCUAUGAGGAUGUGAAGGUCUUAUCUUCGGUGUAAUUUCAAUAAAACUUGUUUUCGAGGUGAUUAAUCUGUUGCUUGGCACGGCAACUCAGGUGGAUCUAUGAGAUUUUGGAAUUAAAUUUCCGUUCAUGGUGGUUCUUCUCUUUCUCAUUAGCCGAACUGUUGUUUGCAGCCAGGAUAGAUUUUAAUGCUUUUGAGCUGAUUCGUGUUUUUACUUGGCAAAGUUCAGUUUCUUUUACACCCAUCACGAAACCUCUCUUUUUGUGAUAUUGCACAUGCACUUCCUCUUUAUGUAUUCUUAUCACUCACUGUGCUUCGUUUUAUACACAAUGAAGAUUUGGAUGUUUUCAUGCGUUGAUGUUCAAUCAAACAUGUUACCUGGCGAGCUAAAGUCCGUUGCUUGGCAUGGCACUUCAGGUGGAUCUAAGAGAUUUUGGGAAAAGUUCCAUUUUAUGGUCCUCCUUCUCUGUCUCAUGGGCAAACUGAUGCUUGCAGCCAUGCAGGGUUUCAUAGCUGUUGAGGUUAUCGUGUUUUGGCACCACAAAGUUCAAUCUUUUUGUCACUAUUGCACGACUUUCUACUUCUUUUGUUCUUAUUACUCCUCUCUGGUAUAACUUAACAAAGCAAUUUAACAUGUUUUUUCUCUAGUUGAGAACUGUUGCUUGGCAUGAGAUUUAGGAGAAAGUUCCAUUUCAUGGUGGUCUUCUUUGUCUCGUAAGGCUAACUGAAUGCUUGCAACCAUGACAGAUUUCAAAUCUUUUGAGCUGAUUCGUGUUUUGGCUUUGUAAAGUUAAGUUUCUUUACCCCCUCACUGGACCACCCUUUUUUCGUGAAAUAACCCAUGUGUUUCUUAUAAACGAUGAGGAUGUGAAGGUUUUGUCUUCUAUGGAAGUUCAAUAAACUUGUUUUCUCUUGAGCUGAUUAAACUGUUGCUUGGCAUUGCACCUCAGGUGUGUCUAUGAGAUUUCUGAAUUUAAUUUCCUUUUCAUGGUGUUACUUCUUUGUCUCAUAAGGUUUAUUGUUGUUUGCAGCCACAAUGGAUUUCAAUGCUUUUGAGAUGCUUCAUGUUUUUACUAGUCAAAGUUCAGUUUCUUUUCCACCCCUCACCGAACCACCGUUUUUGUGAUAUGACACAUGUGCUGCUUCUUUUUAUAUUCUUAUUACUCACGAUGCUCCAUUUUAUAUACUUAUGAAGGUUUGGAUGUUUUCUUUCGUUGAUGUUUAAUCAAACAUGUCGCCUGUCGAGCUUAAAGAAUUGUUGCUGGGCGAGAUCAGUUGGGUCUAUGAGAUUUUGGGAGAAAUUCCAUUUUAUGGUCCACCUUCUCUGUCUCUUAGGCGAACUGAUGGUGUUUCACAGCUUAUCGUGUUUUGGCACCACUUAGUUUAAUAUUUUUGUCACUAAACUGGUGAAAUUAUAUGACCUUCUACUUUUCUUGUUCUUAUUACACUCUUUUGUAUAACUCAAAAAAGCAAUUAACAUGUUUUGCUCCUCAGGUGGGUCUAUGAGAUUUCAGAGAAAUUUUCAUUUCAUGGUGCGUCUUCUCUGUCUCAUAAGGGUAACUGAUGCUUGCAGCCAUGACAAAUUUAAAAGCUUUUGAGCUUUUUCGUGUUUGGUCUUGGCAAAGUUCACUUUCUCUCCCCCCCCCUAAACUACCUUUUUUCAUGAAGUUACACAUGAGCUUCCUCCUUUCUUAUUCUUAUUACUCUCUCUCAUGUGUUUUAUAAACAAUGAGUAUGUGGAAGUUUUCUCUUUCAUGGAAGUUCAGUAGCUGAUUUUACUGUUGUUUGGCACGGCACCUCAACUGGGUCUAUGAGAUUUUUGAAUUAAGUUUCCAUUUCAUGGUGUUUCUUCUCUAUCUCAUAAGGCUAACUGUUGUUUGCAGCCACAGUGGAUAGCCACAAUGGAUUUCAGUGCUUUUGAGCUGAUUCAUGUUUUUACUUGGCGAUAUGUAGUUUCUUUCCCACCCCUCACCGAACCAUUCUUUUCGUGAUACCACAUAUUAACUCCGUCUUUUCUUAUUCUUAUUACUCACUGUGCUUCGUUUUAUGAACAAUGAAGAUUUGGAUGUUUCCAUCCAUUGGUGUUCAAUCUAACAUGUUGCCUGUCGAGCUAAAGAUCUGUUGCUUGGCGUGGCACUUAUGUGGGUAUAUGAAAUUUUUAGAAAAAAUCCAUUUUAUGGUCCUUCUUCUCUGUAUCAUAGACAAACUGAUGCUUGCAUCCAUGCUGGGUUUCACAACUUAUGAGCUUAUCGUGUUUUGGCACUACAAAGUUCAACUUUUUUGUUACUAAAUCACCCUUUUUGUGAAACUCACGACUUUCUACUUUUUUUGUACUUGUUACUCUCUCUGGUAUAACUCAAAAAAGCAAUUUAACAUGUUUUCUGUCGAGUUGAAAACUAUUGCUUGGUAUGGCACCUCAGGUGGAUAUAUGAAAUUUUGGAGAAAGUUUUCAUUUCAUGGUGCGUCUUCUCCAUCUCAUAAGGCUAACCGACGCUUGCAGCCAUGACAGAUUUCAAAGCUUUUGAGCUAUGUGUUUUGGCCUGGCAAGGUUCAGUUUCUUUUCGUGAAAUUUCACGUGAGCCUCCUCUUUUCUUACUCUAAUUACUCUCUCUGCUGCAUUUUCUAAGCGAUGAGGAUGUGGAUGUUUUAUAUUCCGUGGGAUUUCAAUAAUACUUGUUUUCUCUUGAGCUGAUUAAACUGUAGCUUGGCACGGCACCUCAGGUGGGAUUAUGAAAUUUUGGAAUGUGAUUUCCAUUUCACAGUGUUUCUUUACUGUCUCAUAAAGGUUAACACGGAUUUCAAUGCUUUUGAGCUGAUUCAUGUAUUUACUUGGCAAAGUUCAGUUCCUUUCACACCCCUCAUUGAAACUCUUUUUGUGAUGUUGCACAUGCACUUUCUUUUUUUGCAUUCUUAUUGCUCACUCUACUUCGUUUUAUACACAAUGAAGAUUUGGAUGUUUUCAUCUGUUGAUGUUCAAUCGAACAUGUUGCCUGUCGAGCUAAAGAACUGUUGCUUAGAACAACACUUCAGCUGGGUCUAUGAUAUUUUGGGAGAGUUUCCAUUUUAUGGUCCUUUUUCUCUGUCUAAUAGGCAAACUGAUGCUUGCAGCCAUGCCGGGUUUCACAGUUUAUGAGCUGAUCGUGUUUUGGCACCACAAAGUUCAAUUUUUUUGUCACUAAAUCACCCUUUUUGUGAAACUACACGACUUUCUACUUCUCUUGUACUUAUUACUCUCACUGGUAUAACUCAAAAAAGCAAUUUAACAUGUUUUUUUUCAACCUGAAAAUUGUUGCUUGGCAUGGCACCUCAGGUGGGUAUAUGAGAUUUUGGAGAAAGUUCCAUUUCACGAUGCGUCUUCUUUGUCUCAUAAGGCUUAACUGAUGCUUGCAGCCAUGAAAGAUUUCAAAUCUUUUGAGCUGAUUCGUGUUUUGGCUUGGCAAGGUUCAGUUUAUUUUCGUAAAAUUGCACAUGAGCUUCCUCUUUUCUUAUUCUAAUUACUCUCUCUGAUCCAUUGUAUAAGCGAUGAGGAUGUGGAUGUUUUAUCUUCCGUGAAAUUUCAGUAAUACUUGUUUUCUCUUGAGCUGAUUAAACUGUUGCUUUGGCACGGCAUCUCAGGUGGAAUUAUGAGAUUUUGGAAUUAAAUUUCCAUUUCAUGGUGUUUCUUUACUGUCUCAUAAAGGCUAUAUGUUUGCAGCCACGACGGAUUUCAAUGCUUUUUAGCUGAUUCGUGUUUUUAAUUGGCAAAGUUCAGUUCCUUUCACACCCCUCAUUGAAACUCUUUUUGUGAUGUUGCACAUGCACUUCCUUUUUUCACAUUCUUAUUACUCACUCUACUUCGAUUUAUACACAAUGAAGAUUUGGAUGUUUUCAUCCAUUGAUGUUCAAUCGAACAUGUUGCCUGUCGAGCUAAAGAAUUGUUGCUUGGCACGACAUUUCAGGCAGGUUUAUGAGAUUUUGGGAGAAGUUCCAUUUUAUGGUCCUUCUUCUCUGUCUCAUAGGCAAACUGAUGCUUGCAGGCAUGAAUGUUUUACACUUUAUGAGCUCAUCGUAUGUUGCCCCGCAAAGUUCAAUUUUUUGUCACUAAAUCACCCUUUUGGUGAAACUUCACAACUUUCUAAUUUUCUUGUUCUUAUUACUCUCUCUGGUAUAACUCAAAAAAGCAAUUUGACAUGUUUUUUCUCGAGUUGAAAACUGUUUCUUGGCAUGGCAUCUCAGGUGGGUAUAUGAGAUUUAGGAGAGAGUUCCAUUUCACGGUGCGUCUUCUUUGUCUCAUAAGGCUUAACUGAUGCUGCAGCCAUGAGAGAUUUCAAAGCUUUUGAGCUGAUUCAUGUUUUGGCUUCGCAAGGUUCUGUUUCCUUCCCCCCUCACCAAACCACCAUUUUUGUGAAAUUACACGUGAGCUUCAUCUUUUCUUAUUCUGAUUACUCUGUUUCAUCAACCUUGAGGAUGUGGAGGUUUUGUUUUCUGUUGAAGUUCAGUAAAACUUAUUUUCUCUUGUGCUGAAAAACUGUUGCUUGGCUCAACACCUCAAGUGUGUCUAUGAGAUUUUUGAAUUAAAUUUCCAUUUCAUGGUGUUUCUUCUAACUUUGAACUAUUUCCUUGUUAUUGCAUGCUUUCCCAGAAUUAAACUAAAUCUUGCUAGCAAGUGCAGUAUUGCAUGCUUUCCCACAAAAUUUUGGCUUUAAAGUAGAGUAUCUAAGCUCUAUUUCUGACAUUUCUUUGUUGAAAUUUGUUACUAAAACUCAUGGGAUGCCAAAUAGAUAUUGCAGGGUUUUUAAGGUAAAGUUAUUUUGAGAUCACUGGUAGUAUUCAUUAGGAUAGGUAAAAAACUAACUUGGUCUUUGUUUUUGCCAUUGUAUACAAUAUGGCAAGUGUUUGUUCCGUGGAUUUGAUGAUUGUAGACAUGAAAAUCUUAAGAGUUAUUUGAUACCACAAGCUAUGCUCUCCUCUUGGGUGCAUGGGGACUCACAUAAAUAGAUUGGUGCUGGAAAUCGAGGUAAAACAGAUGAGCUUAUAAGGAAGAAGAAGAGUAGAAGAUGUCAGUCAGCUCCUCCCUUUUACCAAGGCAAGAAAGUUCCUUGCCACAAGUGAGUCUUCAAGAAUGGCUGAAUGAAAUAACUAUACAAGACUGUUCAUGAUGUGCCACUCAUACCAGUAAGGAGACUGCAGAAGCUUUCUGGAGCUUCCACAGCUGUCAUCCCACCAAUGUGAUCAAUCUUCCACCCUAAGUUGUGGUGAUUGUGUAUUCUAUGAUGAAAGGCCAAGUGUGAAAAUGAAACUUGUUAACUCCCGUAAUAGCAAAUUACAAAGAUCAAGGGGAGUGCACAAGUACAUGUGAUGGGGAGUAAAAAGAAGGGGAACAACCAGAGAGCUUGAAAGAAGAAGUUGGGGUCUUGGGGAAAACGAGUUAGAAGAUCUUUCAAAAUUUUAAAUAUCUCUGUAGUUUUAUUUUAUAUUUUAGAAUUUUUUAGCCAAAUUCCAGCACCCGUAUUGAUGACAUUAUUCACAUUUUAGGAAAUACUCCACUAGCUAACAAGACUUAAGCACGUAUUUCAUAAGCAUGAUCCGGAACUCAGAUUCCUGAGUCAGAUCGAAAGUCCAAGUCGGUCAAUUGAUGGCUCUCUUGCUCAUGGCAGUCCGUGUAAACUGGUAAAUCCAGAAACUCUUCAAACCCCCUUGCAUCAAAUGUUUUACUUGCAGAAUAUGAUUUUCUGGAGAACUAAUUCAGUGCUUUCUCUAGUUCCAGUUAUAAAUCUGACUGCCGGUCAGGUUCCGGAUGGGCUGAUUAGUCAUUUAGGGAAUGUAACUUCAAAAAGCCAACAAGUUAAUGUGUGUACACCAGACCCGUCCAUAAAAUCGCCUUGAACAUGAUUAUAGUGUUGAAUUUGAAGUAGCUAAUGAUGUUAACCAGGUCUUAAGUUAAAUGUUUCUUAGAAGCAAGGAAAUUUAUAUUGAGAACUUCUCCUGUUGCAAAAUUCAGAGCAAGGCAUCGCGAAGGUCAAAAUUUUUGUCGGAGAUUCAGAGGAAAAAGCUUAAUUGACCAAGACAUUCUGGAUGAAGACGAUCAUCUUAUGGAUUUUGUUUUACAGACCAAAAAUUAUGGUGCUGACCUGCCAUUUUUUGUCCAGACCGUCUCCUCUGCCAUUAGAUAUUUUGCUCGAGACUGGGUUUCAAGAUGUUAUUCCUUACAUCGCUGAAAAUGAAAUUGGAACUUCUGUUGAACAUGAAGUUGUUUUCACGUAUAAUUUUGGAAAGAAUGGAACAUAGUCUCUUGGUCCCUGCCAUAUAUUAUUUGGAAAAGGAGGACUGCUUGUUCCCAAACACUGCAAAGUUUGAUCUCAAUUUUUAUGCUCUUUCUUGAAAGGAUAUAGCCAGUAUAGGGGGACAUGAUCCAUGGGAUGUUUUUGAUUCAGGUUCUUCUGAAUUCUAUUAUGAUGGAAAUGAUUUGGCACAUGUAUUCUCAUGGUGAAGAGAAUCUCAAGAAUUAUUUGAUACCACAGGCUAUGCUCUCCUCUAGGGUGGAUGGGGACUUACGUAAAUGGAUUGAUGUUGGAAAUAGAGGUGAAACAGAUAAGCUAUAAGGAAGAAAUGAGUAGAAGAAACCAUUGCUCCUCCAUUUUACCAAGGCAAAAGGAAGUUCUUUGCCAUGAGUGAGUCUACAAGAAAGACAGCAGGAAAUAACAAUAUUAAGAUUUUUCACAAUGUGCCACUCAUGCCUGGUAAUUUGUGCUUGAUUGCUUUGACCAUGCUUUUGCAGGUCAUUCCUGAAAUUGGUUACCAAUUACUACAAAACUGGGGAUGGAUCUGCAAACAUUUAUUUUCAAGCUUCAAGAUCAUUUACCAGGAACUUGAAUCUGAUUCACAAAAGCCAACAUCUUUCACACUUCUUGCUGUAACAUUCUCUUAUACUUGUCCCUGUCAUAUUAUAUUACAUGCAAACCAUUUGCAGAUCAAUCUUAGAAGGGAAAGGUAUUGUAGUACUGAUUAUGGUUGUUCAUUCAAGCUAGUUACUCACAUACUUUCUCAAAUCUUUUACCACACCUUUAUAGCUUAUUCUCUUUGACAUUCACAUUCCUUUCUCAUAAGGAUAUUUGCCGGUGUAAAUGUGGAAAACAAAGCAUGAAAAACACUUCUUCUCAUGCUAGUUAUUCCAUUCUGUGGUAUCAUCAACAGUUUAUAUUAGUUCUAUGCUCCAUCUUGUUUAAAGCAAGAAGGAUUUUCAAGUGUCAUUUGUGUCCAUUGUCUCUUAAGGUCCAUUUUUGAGGGGGGAUUUGCCUCCCUUCUCUGGUAACCCCUGAUUUUUUUUGAAGUUAUGCACUUACGCUAGUUUUCAUCUCUGUUUUUGCAAGUAAUUACUUGUGACCUCUUUUUGUUACAUUAAUUCAGAAUGAGGCUACAGAGAGAAUAAUGCGAUUUCUGUUCGAGGGUGGUUCCCCUACUCUAUGAUUUGCCUGUGAUUCUUUCAAUUUCUAAACAAAUCAACAGCCCUCAAAAAAGAGAAAGAGACAUAGAUAGAGUACACUACAGUUUUUGGGCUUUCCCCCCCAUCAUUUAGGUUCUGGACUGUGAUUUUCUUGAACUUGAUGUCUAUUGGAAACAACUUCUCUAGUCCCCCCACAAAGGACCGGGGUAAGGUCUAUCUACCAAUGCUAGCUUUUAAUUAUAGGAUAAGGCUGUGAUGAUGACAAAUGAAGUUGUAUUGAGUUGGGUCAGGCAUUGGAGCUACCCUUCUUGGCAAGGCAACCCGGUAAGGCGUCAGCGUUUUGCAACGGAAUUCUGCAGCCAUGGUGGUUACUUUGUCUCCUUUUGCCUGGUUUUAUUGCAAAUCUGAGCCUCAGGAGAAAGACGUUUGAAACUUGUGAAUUCUGUUUUGUUAGGUUUGCCUAAAAAAUUCAAGAAUGAGGCAGCAGAUAGUAUGCGAUUUCUAUCAAGGGUGGUUGCCCUUAUCUCUAUGCUUUGCCUAUGAUAUUCCAUUUUUUAAAACAAACUAACAGCCCUUAAGAAAGGGGACAAAGAGUACACUUGAGUUUCUGGGUUUAUUUUCAUUUUUGCACUCUUAAACGUAUGCUCAUAAGGCAAUAAACAACUAUACAACAACAGCAGCAUGACUAUGAAAAUUAUAAAAGAGGCAGUGAUGAUUUCUGGGAUAACUAAAUUCGGGCAUUGAGAUUACCCAACCCGUAUCUUGGCGAGGCAACCCGGUAUGGCCUGUAGUUGAGACACAUAAAUCACACAUGCAAUUGUUUGGUGCAUCCAUGGUGUGCUUGGCUUCUCUCUGGCCUUAUCUUCACACAAAUCUGAGCCUCAAUUUGCUAAAGAAAAAAAGGAGAAUAAGGUCAAAUUUAUACCUUCACUAUGUAUAAGGAGCAAUAUCUUUUCCAUGAUUAAUGUGGAAGAUAUUGUACCAACGCCGUUCUUAUUUGCAGUUUUAAUGCUUAUUGAUAAUGUAUUAAAACAUUAUAAUACAUUGAUUGUAGUUGGUAAUACAUGAUUAGGUACUCAACCUACAUUCUCAAACCUUUUACUACACUUUAUAGCUUAUAAUCUUCAACAUUCAUAUUGCUCCGUGUCUAAAUGUGCAAAUCAUCUUAUUCCAAUUUAAUUUUUAUAACUUAAUGACAUCAUUUAUGUUUUAGGAAAUACUCCACUCGCUAACAAUAUUCUCUAGAAUAAGAAAACAAUUUAAUUUUUAUAACUUAAUGACAUCAUUUAUGUUUUAGGAAAUACUCCACUCGCUAACAAUCUUAUUCCAAUUUAAUUUCUUCAUAAUACAGGUUCUGUGUAUUCUAUGCGUUAAUCUAACUGAUGUGGGCCUGUUAGAAUUUAUUUAACAGAUGGAUCAUCAAUAGUUUCCCCGUCAGUGAAUUGGGUCCUGAAUAAACUAGGCUUGCAGGAGUAAGUACAUACUUGAUUUAUGAAUUUGGAGCUACCUUGAUGCUUUCUCUUGCCUCCGUCCACCCCCAUAUAAUAAAAAGAGAAAGAACAAGGAUUUAGAACGGAAAGUGAUUUAAGAUAUUUUCUUUAUUCCUGAUGUCUUUGUUUCCAUUUUUGUUGGAACAAUAACACUCCGAUAUGGAUGAGCAUGUCCAUAAUCCAUGCCAGGUGGUCUUCUUAUGUUGAAGCAAGCAAUGCUAUAAACUUGGAACAUUCGCAGCGUGUGUGAGUGGUUCUAGAGCCCCCAAGCCCAAAAAUCUGCUGUCCUUUUGGUUGUGUAAAAAUGAGCUAAUCCAACCCCAACUUUAGCCAGGUUCAGCUCAACUUGGUGCAUUGAGAGACGAGCUCAAGGUUGUCUUGAAUCUAAUCUGGCCCGGGCUCAAGAUAGUCAGUUUUUUUAAUAGAUAACUGUGGUGCCCAGGCCAGCUUGCAUGCACCUCGAUGAUCAUGUUUUUUCUGAGUGGAAUAACGGCUCUACAGGCUGUUACUUGUGGCAAAGACUCCACCCGCUAUCAGUAAUUGUAGCUGAUGAUGUUUUGCAGUGUCAGCCAAGUGUAUUGCAAAUAUACUCCCUUUUUUCUUUUUCUUUUUCUUUUUUUCUUUUAGCAUGAGAUAUGUUCUUGGAGCAAUUCGGUUUUGGAUUACAUCCGCAUGAAACCAACCUAGUGUCAAAAAUCUCUCAUGACUCGUUAGUAUACCUAAUUUGGUUCUGUUUGCUACCUAUACUAUGCAAUAAUAUCACGCUAAAGAUAUCUGGUAUGCAAUCAUCACACUGAAGGAUAAUCUGGAUCUAGAGCGCGAUACAUGUAUGUACUAAAUGUAAUAUUGCUUAGUUAGGUUUGUGAAGUAGGAGUUCUCAUGACUCGUAUUUGGUUCUGCUUGCUAAUCAAUAAUGUAAUAUUAACUUCUGGUGACAGCAACUCUCCGUCCUAAUACCCAAUUAAUAUAUUUAUAAUAUUAUCACAUGAAUUAAGAGGAGAGUGUAAAAGUUUAGCAUUCAAAGGAAACAAAAAACAUUUUCCCCUGUCCUAAUACCCAAUUAAUAUAUUUAUAAUAUCAAUUAAAAUUAUAUAUUGCUUAGUUAUCAUGGUAUUCCUAAUUAAGUAGCAGGAAUGAAAGAUUAAUUUAGGAUUAAAUAUAGUACAUAUAUCUUUUGUAAAAUUUAUUUCAGGAGAUCACAUGAUUCUUAUUGGAACUUUGAAAGGUUUAGAUAAUUUAUAUUAGACAUACGUAAUUCUUUGAAACCUCAAGGUGAGUUUCUAUUAAAGGGAUUUGGGAAAAAAACAUUGAUGCCUAAGAUUAGAUCUUCAUAAUGGGUUUGAUCCGAAGUCAAUUCAAUCCAACCCUUGAAUUAAGUGUUGGCUCUUAUAAUUAGUUAGGAUAACUAGAAAGAAAGUAUCUACUUUUACAAUAUAAUGUUAAGUUUUAUUAUUUUUAAAAUAUUACUCCCUCCGUCUCGAAUUGUUCAUCAUGUUGCAUUUAUCGAAAGUUAAUUUAACUAAUUUUCAAAGAUAAAUUAGAUCACAUUAAUUUGAUAUUUUAAACAAAAAAAUAGAUAUUCUAAAACUAUAUGGAAAGUACUAUAAAUUAUCAUUUUUUGCAUAUUAAUAUAAUAAAAAAUACAUUUUAAAAUGUUCGUCAAAAUUUUUAUAAUUUAAUUCUGAAAAUAGAAACCAUGACAAACAAAAUCGGACGUAGGGAAUAUAAAUAUUUAAGAUAAAUAAUGACCUAGUGACCCCCUCUCCUUAACCCCUUUUCUGGUAGCUGAAUGCAGGAUAGUUUUAGGUGGUUGCAUUUGUUAAAAUUAGGUCAACUGUUUUUGAGUCUGAAUUAGAAAUGUAGGAUGGUUCUGUUCGAGUUGCUGUCUUGUAGUUGUAGCUCUGGAGCAUUCACCAUAUAUGUACACCAGCGACAUCAAAAUUUAGCCAUUAUAUACAUGCUUUCCCAGCAAGCUUUGGCUUUAAAGGGGAGGCUCUGAACUCUAUUUCUGACGUUUCUUUGUGGAAAUUGUUACUAAAACUCACGGGAGGCCAAAUGGAUGUUGUAAGGUUUUGAAGGUAAGGUUCUUUUGAGAUUUAGCUGGUAGUAUCCUAUAGUAUAGGUAUAAAACUACUAAUGUGGUCUUUGUUCUAGCCAUUGUUUACAGAACGACAAGUGUUUGUACCUUUGAAUUGAUGAUUGUAGACCAGAUGUUUGGUACAACAUGUAAUUCUGUAUAAGCCUUCCUUAUAUGAUACAAGAGUUGACUGUUGUUUGCUAGUAAGAAAUUUUUUUGGGAUUUUUCUUGUUGCAGUCAUUGUUUGUGAUGUAUUUAACAACCAACCAGUUAGAAGGAAAAAAAUGCACUCCAAGUACUUCUACUUUUCUCACAAUUCAAACAAAUGAAAGAUAGUGAUUACAUACUUUACUUUUAAAGUUGUACUCUAACCUGAUUGUUCUUUUGGUUUGUAUAUAUAAUCUGGAAGCCCAAAGAAGGUCUUGCAUGCUCUGAAAGAGUCUCUGCUAAGAAUCGCCCUUGUGCAUAUCAGUGUCUCAUUCAUAAUUGUUGAUAUUGAAAGUGAGGAUGACCUGCUUUGCCCACAUGCUUCUCCUUCUCCAUUGCUGCUAUUGUCCAGUGAGUUUGGAAUUCAUCUGAGUUCCCUUAACAAAUUGAAUGCAAGUGAUGGUUCAUUCGCAGAGGCUACAUUUCAGGUCCUGAUGUUUACACAAUGAAGGUCCUUCAAUAUUUCUGUAUCCACUUGUUACUAGUAUAUUUUGCUGACCAAAGAAAAACAGAAGACCAAUCUUUGGUUAGCAUUUUUUAUGUCAGAUGCCUGUUUUUACGGUGUUUAUGUUUUCCUUGACCUCCGUAAUGCAAAUAUCAAUUCAAGAUUUGUUUCCAAAGGACCAAUACAUAAAAUACUUAAUAACACAGCUAUGACAGUGCUUCUUACAUUGAGAAGUGAAGUAGAUCUCAGAUAUAUCCACAGGUUAUGUUGAACCUAAAUUGUCCAACAUCUUUAUAUGAUUAUACUUUGGAGCCUUCAAAGACCUCUGUGGAAUUUGAGAUAGCUACAUUACCACUCAGCUGAAGCACAUGGAUUGCUGUAACCUGCUCAAACGGAGGGAGUAUAAAAAUUUAAUAUACAGUAAAAGUUAAAAUUGUUGUCCCGUAUCAUAAAGUGCAAAACGUAUAAAAGAUAAACUUUGUACGUAUUACUUAAUUGUUUGAUGAUAUUUACAAAAUAGGUAUGUCCAUUUCAUUGACAUGAUUAAAAAAAAUGCAUGCUUCCUACGGGAGGAUAACUAAGGUUUAGUCUUAGUUAUGUGGUCUUUUGAUCCUAACAUUGAGAUAUGUUACAUUACUUUGGAGAAGAGAGAUUAGUAUUCUGAAA